rnacentral:rRNA from 1 species
GACGAACGCUGGCGGCGUGCUUAACACAUGCAAGUCGAACGGAAAGGCCCUGCUUUUGUGGGGUGCUCGAGUGGCGAACGGGUGAGUAACACGUGAGUAACCUGCCCUUGACUUUGGGAUAACUUCAGGAAACUGGGGCUAAUACCGGAUAGGAGCUCCUGCUGCAUGGUGGGGGUUGGAAAGUUUCGGCGGUUGGGGAUGGACUCGCGGCUUAUCAGCUUGUUGGUGGGGUAGUGGCUUACCAAGGCUUUGACGGGUAGCCGGCCUGAGAGGGUGAACGGCCACAUUGGGACUGAGAUACGGCCCAGAAUCCUACGGGAGGCAGCAGUGGGGAAUAUUGCACAAUGGGCGGAAGCCUGAUGCAGCAACGCCGCGUGCGGGAUGACGGCCUUCGGGUUGUAAACCGCUUUCGCCUGUGACGAAGCGUGAGUGACGGUAAUGGGUAAAGAAGCACCGGCUAACUACGUG